GAUGAACGCUGGCGGCGUGCCUAAUACAUGCAAGUCGAGCGAACGGACGAGAAGCUUGCUUUUCUGAUGUUAGCGGCGGACGGGUGAGUAACACGUGGAUAACCCACCUAUAAGACUGGGAUAACUUCGGGAAACCGGAGCUAAUACCGGAUAAUAUUUUGAACCGCAUGGUUCAAAAGUGAAAGACGGUCUUGCUGUCACUUAUAGAUGGAUCCGCGCUGCAUUAGCUAGUUGGUAAGGUAACGGCUUACCAAGGCAACGAUGCAUAGCCGACCUGAGAGGGUGAUCGGCCACACUGGAACUGAGACACGGUCCAGACUCCUACGGGAGGCAGCAGUAGGGAAUCUUCCGCAAUGGGCGAAAGCCUGACGGGGCAACGCCGCGUGAGUGAUGAAGGUCUUCGGAUCGUAAAACUCUGUUAUUAGGGAAGAACAUAUGUGUAAGUAACUGUGCACAUCUUGACGGUACCUAAUCAGAAAGCCACGGCUAACUACGUG
rnacentral:rRNA from 1 species